rfam:Coprobacillus sp. CAG:183 genomic scaffold, scf598
GGGGGUGUCCUGGGUUCGACAGGUGUAUGUCUGACCUUAGCUGCAGUCGAAGGCAUUCGUUAAAUGCACAAACAAAUAACUGGAAACAGACAAACUAAUUACGCUUUCGCUUAGUCGACAUAGACAUGAAAGCUGCCACUAUUUAGCGUGCCUAUAGCUAUUUAACUGGUAUCAUAAACUCAUAGGAUAAGGGUAUUUAUUGCUUAGCUAAAUACUUCGAAAAUCUCAUAAGCUCGUUAGGUGGAAAAUUGCUCAUUGAUUGUAGCCUAAUUAAAUUAAUUCAAUGAGAUAAACUGUAGACGCUUUGGAGGGAUUAUGCUUGGACAGGGGUUCGAUUCCCCUCACCUCCACCA